CUAUUUACAGAAGAGGUGUGCAGUCUGAUAGCUGUGGGUCCAAACGAUUUUUUGAAUCUUUCUGUCCUGCAGUGAAAGAGAGGAGCCGUUCACCACCAUUGGCCCUUUGGUCCAUUAAGGUAUUGUAAAGUAGGUGAUCCAUGUUCUUGCGAAAAGUCUCCACCUUCCUCAGUGCAGAUCUCUCCACCACAUCCUCCACUGAGUCCAGCUUGAGUCCUACCACAGAGCCAACCUUUUUCACCAGUUUGUUAAGACGUCUUGCAUCUUUGUGUUUGAUACUUUCUCCCCAGCAGACUGCAGUGUAUAACAGAACACUUGCCACCACAGACUGAUAAAACAUCUGCAGCAUCCUACUACAGAUGUCUGUUGAUGGCAGUCUUCUCAGGCAAAUGAGGCGGCUCUGCCCCUUUCUGAAGAUGAAGUCUAUAUUCUUAGACCAGUCCAACUUGUUAUCCAGAUGUACACCUAGAUAUUUAUAUGAUGUCACCACUAUGAUGUCCACACCACAGGUGUUCACUGGCUGAAGGGGAUUUAGAUUUGAGGAAGUCUAUGAUCAUCUCUUUUGUCUUUGAGGUAUUGAGGAGGAGGCAGUUUUUAUGACUCCAGUCACCGAAGGCUCUUAUCAGAUCUCUGUAUUCAGCUUCUUGUUUAUUUCUUUUUUUUAAAUCAUGUUUUUAUUAUUCAUUCAACAGCCAAAGGUACAUACAAUUAGGUGAGAAAACGACCCCCCCCCCCCCCUUUUUUUCCAGAAACAACACAACAAAACAAACAAACAAUGACAAACAGCAAGAAAUAAAAAUAAAUCCCUUUUGCCCACCCACUCCCAACCCAAUCCUACAUAUUUGUUUCAGUACUACCACUCAUCCUUUACGUGUAUUAUAAACAAAUAAACACGUACUCGGAGAGAAAGAAAAAAUAAAACUAGGACCCCGUUGGGGCACUGGCGGGCCCGAGCCGUGUCGCGUCCCCCCCCCCCCCCCCAUAACGUGCUGCCUCCCCGUCCCAUUUGUGUCCUCUGGCCAUCGCCCUCUCUGGUAACGCCCAUCACUGCAAAGACCCUUUUCCUUCAUCUGCGUUUGCUGUUCUUCCUGCCAGUGCGUGUUGCUUUCACUUACACUUGCCACAGCCAGCCUCGUGAGUGCCUAGCCUAUUGGAUAUCACUGUCACCUACACAGGACAGUCAUUACCUUUCUAUUAAUACUUUGUGUUUUAAUUUCACAUUAAUUUCCAUAUUGUAUAAACGACUGGAAAAAACUUGAGCCCCUGCCCCUGUAUAAUCAUGUGCAUGUCUCUGUUCUAGCUCCAAGGUGAAUCUUCACUGCUCAUGUUCUCCUCAGAAGCACUCACCUCACUCCCCUCAGGUUACUGUACACAUGCACCAACUGCCUGCUUCAGGUUUGGAUGGAGCUUCAUGGUUGUCUUUUGGAGAAAUGACCAGUCAAGUUGUGUUUGAAAUUUGAUUUUUUUCAGGGGCAAAAGGAGCCUCUGCAUUCUUGUCAAAUAUGUAAAUAGCAUGUUUUUGCAGGUGCUAAAAACCAGACUCUGAGUGUGUGUGUGUGUGUGUGUGUGUGUGUGUGUGUGUGUGUGUGUGUGUGUGUGUGUGUGUGCGUGUGUGUGUGUCUGUGUGUGCGUUCAAGUCACAUGACAUAUUUAACCGGAUGUAGCUGCAAGACGGAGCCUCGUUGACUCUCCGUUUCAACUUAUCUCAAAAGUGAGGACCUCAACCUAUAUACCAGUUUUUAAAUUGUGUUGAUAGGCCAAAUAAAACCAGAGUUAUGAUAAAUUAUGUCCGCGAUACUUUUUUUCUGCUUAUUUUGAUCACAUUCGGCGCUCGAUCGCGCUGUAUGAGACAGGAAAACAUAGCAUGCAGACAUUAGCGACAGCUCUUACAGGCGGAAAAGGCUUGCCAAAAGAAAAAAAAACACACCACAACAUCUCUCCUAUUGGUGGAAAACUUCACCACAACAACCAAUCCAAAAUUAUAUGGUGACUGAUUGACAAGGGGCGGGCGCUUACGUUCUUCCUGCAACAUGAGAAGGGAGGGAGGGACUCUCAGCAGGGAUGCAGUCUGGGACACGUAGUUGCAAACCUAGCGACUUUGUUGUUAGAUUCAAUGACUUUUCAGACCCCCUAACGACUUUUUUUUAGAAAGAAAGGGACUUUUAUCGACUUCUUCUGGAGUUUAGAGACUCUGACAUGAAGCAGGCUUUCCUUACUGAGGAGUUAGCAACGCUGCUAAGGGUGCAGAGCCACACAUGCGCUCAGAGCUCUGCAUGGGAGACUGAAGCUGACAGAGCUGCAGCAGUUAGCAGGUUUCACCCUCAGAGACCACCAGGGGUUCAUGUUGAGGCAUUUUAAUUAAUUUUUUUUUUUUUUGUGCCAUAGACACUGUCAGCACAAUCUGCAGUUACACUAACAAAAAUGCUGCAAAAAACAAAGAAUUAUGGAAAAAUUACACAUGGACUGACAUAGAGGAGGAUCUACACAAGUUUUUUACAUCAUGUUUUACAUCAUGCAUCAUUUACAUCAUGUUUUUUUGUAGUGGCAUAAAUAAAAAGUGACAUUUGUGAGACUAUACAGUGUUUUGUAAAUAAUUUUACAAAGAACGCCUGGGCCAUUGCCUGCAUUUUGAUGUAAAUAGAGGUAAAUCACUAUGUUCUUUGUUAAAAAUUUGCAUAUGUUUUGAAGUUUACAAUUUUUAUUUGAAGUUUAAGUUUUAAAAACAGUUCAUCACACAUAUUUGUGGUUUUCACAGUAAAAAUGUUACUUUUUUCCACUCGGAUUUUAUGUUUUGUGUGUGAAUUUGGGUCCAUUGUGUAAAUUCAGUAUGUCAACAUGAUAAAAUAACUGUAAAUUCGCACAGGUGAGGUUGUGCUGAAAAAAAUGAUACCAGGCAAGGCACGUGAUUGUCAAAUUUUGUGUCAAUAUGACAAAGCGUAUAGGCGUGAAUCUCAACAAUAUGUAUUUUCACCUUAGAGGACAAGAAAAAAUGGACUUUUUUCUCCUGCCAUGGGGGGGCGCUCUUUUGGGGAGUAAAAAUUCCUUCACAAAUGUGUUGAUGGCUGGACAUUGCAUCAUCCUAGAAAACUUGGAGGCCAGUGAGGACAAAAAUAAAAAGUUAUAAGACUUUUAAAUAUGUGGAUUUUAGGAUUAUCUUUGGCGCCCCCUAGAACCUAAACAGUGGGGUGCAGCGUCAUGAUUUUGAUAACUUUUAAUGGCCAUGGGGUGUAGAUUGGCCUGAGCAAAUGUGGUGCCGUUGGGAACGAAAGCCUUAGGAGGAGUUAGCGAAAUUCCAAUGUGUGCGGAUCGGCAAAAAAUGCGGAAUAACCCUUUAACCGUACAUUUGACAGAUACGCGCGCAUUGACUUUUUCGUAGAUCUUAUUGAGUUACAUGUGUGUGUCAAUUUUUGUGUCAUUUUGACAAAGCGUAUAGGCGUGACACUCAACAAUGUGUAUUUUCACCUUAGGGGACAAGAAAAAAUGGACUUUUUUCUCCUGCCAUGGGGGGGCGCUCUUUUGGGGAGUAAAAAUUCCUUCACAAAUGUGUUGAUGGCUGGACAUUGCAUCAUCCUAGAAAACUUGGAGGCCAGUGAGGACAAAAAUAAAAAGUUAUAAGACUUUUAAAUAUGUGGAUUUUAGUGUUAUCUUUGGCGCCCCCUAGAACCUAAACCUUGGGGUGCAGCGUCAUGAUUUUGAUAACUUUUAAUGGCCACGGGGUGUAGAUUGGCCUGAGCAAAUGUGGUGCCGGUGGAACGAAAGCCUUCGGAGGAGUUAGCGAAAUUCCAAUGUGUGCGGAUCGGCAAAAAAUGCGAAAUAACCCUUUAACCGUAAUUUUUACAGAUACGGCCGCACUGACUUUUUUGUAGAUCUUAUUGAGAUACAUAUGUGUGUCAAUUUUUGUGUCAAUAUGACAAAGCGUACAGGCGUGACAGUCAAUAGUGUGAAUUUUCACCUUAGGGGGCGCUAUGGAGCCAUUUUGCAUUUUAUUGUUUGGGCGACUUCAGAAUAUCAAAUUUUUCACCAGGCCCGGUCCUCCUGCCAAAUUUCAUGAGUUUUCGCCAGUGGGAAGUGGGCCAUUUUCCAGUUCAAAGGGGAGGAAAAAGAAGAAAGAAAGAAAGAAAGAAACAAAGAAAAACCACUUGGGGAAUAAUAGGGCUCUCGCAGCUGCUUAGCAGCUACGCUCGGGCCCUAAUAAAAUAAAAGGGGAAAAGAAUUCAUACCAACAGAAAUUGAAUUCCCAAAGUGUUGGGGUGGGGCGAACAUCAAAGAUAGGUGUCAUUUAUCCUGCAGUGUCUUUAAUUUAGCGAUGUAACUAAUCAUGUAGCCCCAAGCCAGGUCAAAUCUUUCAGGGGUCCCCCUCAAAUUGUAUUUAAUUUUUUCCAGGUCUAAGUGCAGCAUCAGGUCCUUAAGCCAGACAGAGGCUUUGGGGGCAAAUGGUGACUUCCACUCCAAUAAUAUUCUUCUGCGUGCUAGAAGAGAAGCAAAGGCGAUGCUAUCCUUAAUUUUUUUCUCGAUUUUUUGACAUUCUGGUAGUACUCCAAAGAUAGCCAAUUCUGCGCAGGGCCUCAGUUUUGUGUUAAGUGCUUCUGUAAGGUGUUUAAAAACAGCUGUCCAAAAGGCUUGCAGACAGGGACAGGACCAAAACAUGUGGGUCAUGUUUGCUGGCGACAGGUGACAUCUGUUGCAGCUAUCUGUGAUACUGGGGUAAAUCUUAGACAACUUGGAAUUGGUAAAAUAGAUACGAUGAACAACCUUAAAUUGUAUCAGAUUAAGCCUGGAGCAAGACGAACUGUUAUUGAUCCGGGUCAGGGCUGAGGCCCAGUCGCUGUCAUUAAUAGUCCUGUCCAGCUCCUGUUCCCACUCUGUCCUCAUUUUGUCCAGAGAUGUCUCUCUGAGAUGGGAAAUUAGAUUGUAAAUUUUGAAAAUGAGGCCUUUUUGAUUUGUGGGAAUGCUCAAAAUGGAGUCAAUGACUGAGUUAGGUGGAAUAUUGGGAAAACAGGUGCUGUUUGAUUUCACAAAGUUACGUACCUGGAAGUAACGGAAUAGGUGGGAAUUUGGAAGGUUCAAUUUUUUGCACAGUUCGCUGAAGCUAGGAAAGAUGUUAUUAAUGUAGAGGUCACUUACCCUAACAAGACCUGAGCUCUGCCAUAAAGAGAACGCAUUAUCGGUUCUAGGAUGGAGAAAGAGAUGAUUAUUUUGUAUGGGGCUAUGAUUAGACAAUCCUUUGAGUCCAAAAGAACAUCUGAAUUGGGACCAAAUUUUUAGGGUGGAGAUGACGGGAGCAUUCAUUUUGAUACAGUUUACCCUGCCAGCUAUGGAUAUAUGCAAGUUACUCCACCUUUCCAGAUCAGAUUUAAGUUUGUCUACUAAAGGUGGAAAGUUGAUUUUAUAAAGAUCUGAGAUCUUACGACAGAUAUGGACACCUAGGUACUUAAAACUGUUUUUAACAAAUUUAAAUGGGAGCGAGACAGCUGGAGUUUCCAAGGCCGUGUCAUUAAUAGGGAAGCAUUCACUCUUUGAAAAAUUCAAUUUAUACCCAGAAAAUUCUCCAAAAACAUUCAACAAAUCAAUUAUUUUAGGGAUGGUGGUUACUGGGUCUGAAACAAAUAAUAAUAAAUCAUCCGCAUACAAGGAGAGAGCAUGCCUUGAACCCCAUCUGUGGAUUCCUUGAUUAAAGCUAGCCAAUUUAAGUGCAAUCGACAAUGGUUCUAUUGCUAAAGCAAAUAGCAACGGACUCAAAGGGCAGCCUUGACGGGUUCCCCUGUUAAGAGUAAAAUAUUGAGAUUUCACCCCAUUAGUAAUAACUGAAGCUUUGGGGGAAGAAUACAGAAGUGAGAUCCAGGAUAUGAAUUUAGGUCCAAUGGAAAAUCUCUUUAAGACCUCCAGCAGAUAGCUCCACUCCACUCUAUCAAAAGCUUUCUCUGCAUCCAGGGAGACCACCACUUCUGGUGUCUCCCCAGACGCAGGAGAGGAGAGAAUGUUGAGGAGGCGGCGGAUAUUGGAGAAGGAGUGUCGGUUUUUCAUGAACCCGGUUUGGUCAGGUGAAAUGAUGCUUGGCAUUAUCAAUUCAAGGCGUGAAGCCAGUGUCUUUGCCAGAAUUUUAUAAUCAGCAUUUAAGAGGGAGAUGGGACGGUAGGAGCCCCACUCUGAUUCUACUUUACCCGGUUUUAACAAUAGGGUUAUUGACGCCUCAGUGAGAGUUUGGGGUAAGGCUCCCCGAUUUAAAGCAUCGUUAAACAUAUCUAGAAGGAGAGGGAUUAAUUUAUCAGCAAUUUUUUUUAAAAAUUCAAUAGGGUAGCCGUCAGGGCCAGGAGCCUUGCCACUUUGCAUUAGUUUAAUUGAGUCUUUUAUCUCACUGAAUUCUAGAGGCUUAUCCAGUUCGCUCUUCUGGGUAGGAGACAAAAGGGGGAAGUUUUUAUUGUCCAGGAAGCUCAUCAUAUUUGUUUUGUCGGGUGGGGAUUGUGAAGUAUAUAAUUCAGAGUAAAAGGUUUUAAAGGUUUCAUUUAUGACAGAUGGUAUCACUGUGAGAUCACCUGAAGGGGUUCUAAUCUGUUUAAUUUGCUGGGAUGCUGUUUGACUUUUAAUUUGACGUGACAGGUGGCGUCCUGCCUUCUCACCAUGUUCAUAAAGGAAUCCCCGUGACCUUAAGAGUAAUUUUUCUGUUUCCUGUGUUGACAGCAACUUAUAGUCCAUUUGAAGGUUUUGUCUCUCCGUUUCCAAUUCUGGGGAUGGAUGGGUUAAUAAUUUUCUGUCCAAUUCUGUUAUCUUUUCCAUGAGUUGAUCCUGUUUUUGUCUCUUUACUUUAUUUAUUCUUGCAGAAUAGGAUAUAAUGUCUCCUCGAACAACUACCUUUAAUGUUUCCCACAUAAGGAUGGGGAGAUGAGGUCAGACUUGUUGGUAGCAAUAUAAUCAUCGAUUGCCUUGGAGAUUGUUUGACAGAAGUCAUCAUCAUUUAGCAAAGUGCUGUUCAAUCUCCAUGAAGGGCGCGUCUUUUGCAGGAGUACAAAUGAAAGGUCAAGAAGUAGAGGAGCAUGGUCUGACACUACUAUCGUUGAAUAUUCUGUAUUAUUAACAGCAGGAAUAAAAUAAUUAUCAAUGUAAAAAUAGUCAAUUCUGGAAAAUGUUUUAUGGACAUGAGAGUAAAAAGAAAAUUGUUUUUUAUUAGGAUGGAGAAAGCGCCAUGGAUCCACAGCUCCAAUUUGAUCCAUAAAAAAUGUAAUUGCGUUACCUAAUUUAGAGGGAGAGUCCUUUCGUGGGCAUGGGGGUUAAUUGUGAAAUUUAGAUCACCUCCUAAAAUCAGGUGGUGGGAAGUUAGGUCAGGUAAAAGUGAGGUUACUUUCUCGACAAAUGCCUCAUCAUCCCAAUUGGG